rnacentral:lncRNA from 1 species
AGUGAACAUAAACAUAGAACCAUGGAAUUAAAAUGUGGCUCAACAUUAACAUAAACAUAAGUGUCGUUAAAAUAUCCGAUUACAUAAGUUCGACGGGUAGCUACAACUACAUAAGACACAUAAACAUAUACAUAAAUAUAAACAUGAACAUAAAAAUCAGUUCUCCUCCCUACGCUUUUCCUUGGCGAUAUCUUCCAACUUUCCCUUUCCCUUUCCCUUCCGAAUAGUUAUGUUGAAUGAUAUCUCAACAUCCUCUUCUUCUAUCUUUAAUUCGGCAACACUUUUCAACAAGUCAUCCAUUGGUGCUUUAGCUUUGCUUGGAGACGUCCCAACGGGGCUUGAUUGCAUUCCAUCACAAUAAUUAUUGGACUGUCCUUCAAACGACAAGGGUUUCUUCUUCGAGGACUUCCCGUCAUUCAAUCAAAAUAUCCACAAUCUUUUGUACAACGGAAGAAUAUUCGACCUAUGUUGUUCGUCUUCUUUUCAACCUCCAUCAUUUUUACAAUCCUUGUAAACAGUUAUGACAUUGUUUUUUUUGGAUAGUCAUACAGUUGAUGCCCAGGAUCUCGACAACUAUGGCAGAUACCCUUAUUCUUUCCAGCCAUUCAAUAUUACAGCUAUGGAAGAUUUGUAUCGAAAUCAAAAAACAGCCAGGGCUCAGCUUGCUUAAUUAAUAUGUUUAUAUGAUACAGUACAUUCACAAUGCAUUGAUUCUCAAACUAUGUCAUGUAAUACUAUUAUACGAUACAGUACAUUCACAGGAAAUACACUAAUCUAAGUUCAUAUGAAGUAGCAUAAUCUAAGUUCACAUGAAGUAGUAUAAUCAAAAGACGACUGCAUAGCUGAAUGGGGGCGACAUGGUCGUGAUAAGAUGUAGCUAAAAACUGAACCACAGAGAACAAUUUCUGUAUAGUAAAUCGCCACUCUAACAAGAUCACAUAUAACCAAAUAAAUACGACAACAGUCAACAGUGUUUGUGCUUUGGUGACUUCCCGUCUAAAUGGUAGGGGAAAAGAACAUCGUGCAACUAAAACCCAAAAAACCAAAACUAAAAAAAAAAAAACAAAAACAAAAACAAAAUUGCUGUCAGAGCUCGUGGAAAAAAAAAAAAGACAAACAAAAUUGCUGUCAGAUCUCGUGAAAACGAAAAUCCAUUUUAGAAGAAGAGGAAGCUGAAUCAUACCGUCGUUGAAGAUAUAGGAGUUGAUCUGUGACCAAAUUGGGAAAACUGAAACCCAAAAACGGAAAAUAAAAGGUCAUCUACCAAACAAAAAGAGAAACCCACUCAUUCUAUGGGUUGAUUACUAAUACCGUCGUCAAGAGCGAGUUUAAUUUUGGACUGUGUUGAAGAUUCUGGAGUCACCGGGAAUGGGAUCGCCUUCGACGAAGAAGCGUAUUUGUCGGGAACAAGUGAAUGAAAAUGAAAAGGAAAUGUUUGUACGGUAGGGCUAAUUUCAAUUUGAAUUUGUUGGGUU